rnacentral:sRNA from 1 species
GUCGGCGCAAACAACGCCGGCCGGGAUUGGUCUCCCGGAAUGCUAGGCGGACAGAUCCGCCCCCUAUGGCGGAUUUUUU